rnacentral:rRNA from 1 species
UGCAAGUCGAACGAAGUAGCAAUACUUAGUGGCAGACGGGUGAGUAACAUGUGGGUAUCUACCCUUUGCCCUGGAAUAACACGAGGAAACUUGUGCUAAUACCGGAUAAGUCUUUACGGAGAAAGCUUUAUGCACCAUUGGAUGAGCCCGCACUUGAUUAGUUUGUUGGUAGGGUAAUGGCCUACCAAGACUAUGAUCAAUAGCUGAUUUGAGAGGAUGAUCAGCCACAUUGGGACUGAGACACGGCCCAAACUCCUACGGGAGGCAGCAGUGGGGAAUCUUGCACAAUGGAGGAAACUCUGAUGCAGCGAUGCCGCGUGAGUGAAGAAGGCCUUUGGGUUGUAAAGCUCUUUCGUCGGGGAAGAAAAUGACUGUACCCGAAUAAGAAGGUCCGGCUAACUUCGUGCCAGCAGCCGCGGUAAUACGAAGGGACCUAGCGUAGUUCGGAAUUACUGGGCUUAAAGAGUUCGUAGGUGGUUGAAAAAGUUGGUGGUGAAAUCCCAGAGCUUAACUCUGGAACUGCCAUCAAAACUUUUCAGCUAGAGUAUGAUAGAGGAAAGCAGAAUUUCUAGUGUAGAGGUGAAAUUCGUAGAUAUUAGAAAGAAUACCAAUUGCGAAGGCAGCUUUCUGGAUCAUUACUGACACUGAGGAACGAAAGCAUGGGUAGCGAAGAGGAUUAGAUACCCUCGUAGUCCAUGCCGUAAACGAUGUGUGCUAGACGUUGGAAAUAUAUUUUUCAGUGUCGCAGCGAAAGCAUUAAGCACACCGCCUGGGGAGUACGACCGCAAGGUUAAAACUCAAAUGAAUUGACGGGGACCCGCACAAGCGGUGGAGCAUGUGGUUUAAUUCGAUGCAACGCGAAGAACCUUACCUACACUUGACAUACAGAGAACUUUCUAGAGAUAGAUUGUGCCUUCGGGAACUCUGAUACAGGUGCUGCAUGACUGUCGUCAGCUCGUGUUGUGAGAUGUGGUAGUCCCGCACGAGCGCAACCCUAUCCUAGUGCUAGCAGUAUGCUGAGACUCUAGAGACUGCGGUGAUAACCGGAGAAGGUGGGACGACGUCAAGUCAUCAUAGCCCUUACUGUAAGGU